rnacentral:rRNA from 1 species
UGGGGAAUAUUGGACAAUGGGCGAAAGCCUGAUCCAGCCAUGCCGCGUGAGUGAAGAAGGCCUUCGGGUUGUAAAGCUCUUUUAGUCGGAAAGAAAGAGUUGCAAUGAAUAAUUGUGAUUUAUGACGGUACCGACAGAAAAAGCACCGGCUAACUACGUGCCAGCAGCCGCGGUAAUACGUAGGGUGCGAGCGUUAAUCGGAAUUACUGGGCGUAAGGGGUGCGCAGGCGGUCUUGCAAGUCAGAUGUGAAAGCCCCGGGCUUAACCUGGGAAUUGCGUUUGAAACUACAAGGCUAGAGUGCAGCAGAGGGGAGUGGAAUUCCAUGUGUAGCAGUGAAAUGCGUAGAGAUGUGGAAGAACACCGAUGGCGAAGGCAGCUCCCUGGGUUGACACUGACGCUCAUGCACGAAAGCGUGGGGAGCAAACA